CCCAAAGCAUCCGCUCCUUUUUCAGCCCAGGCACAUAUCAGGACAGCCCUGAGAGACAGACAGGUUACAGACAGACAAGUCAGAGAUAGACAGGUCAGAGAAAGACGAGUCAGAGACAGAGAGACAGACAGGUCAGAGAAAGACAAGUCAGAGACCGAGAGACAGACAGGUCAGAGAAAGAGAGACAGACAGGUCAGAGAGAGAGACAGGUCAGAGACAGACAGGUCAGAAAGUGAGACAGUUUUAAGAGAGAGGGACAGGUCAGAGACAGUAAGUGUCUGAGAGAGAGACAGGUCAGAGAGAGAGACAGGUCAGAGACAGACAGUGUCAGAGAGAGAC